AUGAAAAUGGAGAAAUGCAUGAACGAUAGCUUUGACGUGGAUGAGUGUUGCUCUGACCUGCACCACUGCAAAAUGGACGAAUGCGUUGCCAAGAGUUCUCUAAACUCCUUACUCAAAGAGCUGUUAGAUGAAAAGGUCUUUUUUUUUUUUUUUUUUUUUUUUUUUCUAAACGUCUUUUUAAAUUGCUUUUAUUUUUCUUCAGUGAUCCACUUUUUUUUCUUGUUUCUUAGAUUUCUACUCAGAGGAAAAAUCAUUGGAUUCUUGGCCCUGAGGACCUCAAUGAUACUAUUGUUUAUGAUUUUGAGAUUGAAGAAGCGGCCUGAGUUUUGUAUUAAUGCCUCCACACUUUUACCUGCAUGUGAAUAAAUGUUGUAGGUGAAGGUGCAGUUUUUAAAAAUCACAUCAGCUAAUAGUAACUUGUAAAUAAAGUGUGUAUAUAUUUACAUGCUGUGUGGAAUUGUCUGUGUAUUUGUGAAGUCGUCACUAUUCAAAAAUGUCCUCACUUAUGUAGUGAAACUUGUUGAACCAAUAGUGAGCUUUCAUAUUUUAGAAGCCAUGAGACAAACAGGGGUUUAUGUAGGCCUAUGCCAUAUUUUAGAGACAAAUUUGUACUUCGUCACAAACUGACAAAACCAAAAAUCUUUUUUUUUUUUUUUUUUUUUUUCCCAUUAUUUGUAGACGCCGUAUUGUAAGAACAUUUUGAGUUAGGUUAUAGCUACUAUAUAUAGAAAUAGUUUUUUUUUCUCAAGUUUAAAUUUAAGUAAAUCUGCAGUGUUGAGGAAAGUUACUUUUAAAAGUAAUGCAUUACAAUAUUGUUACUGCUGCCUAAAAUGCGUUACAUUUUUAAAUCGGGCACGUCUUGCUCGUUAAUAAAAGUUAUAUUUUUGGCAAAUGCCAAAGCACUUUCACUCCAAAAUCCUAGGGCUAAAGGAAAUGUCAAUUCAAGUCUGUACAGUAGAAUUCAGAAAAAAAGUUUAGAACCCUUCAGCAAAAAAAAAAACUUAUUAGUAAUUUUUGCUUAUUAGUAUGGUUGAAUUGGAUCAUCGAAGAUCAGGAUAAAAGACACUGGUUAAAAAAAUGGGAUUAAAUAAAGGAUAUUUAUUUAACAUUACAUUUUGACAUUACGUAGAGUUUCAUUUAACUGUUUGUAUUAAUUUUGAGUAACAUAUCUUGUAAAUUUAAAAAGUAACAUGUUGCCUUACUAGUUAUUUGGGGGGUGGAAUCUGAUUACGUAACUCGCGUUACCCUCAACACUGGAAUGUUUGGUUAAGCAGAUCAACAAUACUGGCUCAGUAUAAAAUCAAUAAUUUAAUGGAAAUUCUCCACUUUAGUAGAAAAAAAUAUGUUAGUCGCAUUUAGAGCUUUAUCGUUGCAUGCUUAUUUUAUAUUGGUUUUGAAGAAGGAAGCAAAAGAAUCUCUGACCUGUUCCAGAGUAACGCAACAGGAUCUGAUACUUUUAUGGCUUGUUAUGCAGUUUUCUGAUCCAUCCUCCCAACCCCAUA
rnacentral:lncRNA from 1 species